CAGUCGCCGCGGUAAUACGAAGGGGGCUAGCGUUACUCGGAAUUACUGGGCGUAAAGGGCGCGUAGGCGGCACGAUUAGUCAGGCGUGAAAUUCCUGGGCUCAACCUGGGGACUGCGCUUGAUACGGUCGAGCUAGAGGAUGGAAGAGGGUCGUGGAAUUCCCAGUGUAGAGGUGAAAUUCGUAGAUAUUGGGAAGAACACCAGUGGCGAAGGCGGCUCACUGGACGCGUAUUGACGCUGAGGUGCGAAAGCGUGGGGAGCAAACAGGAUUAGAUACCCCCGUAGUCCCUGUCUCUUAUAC
rnacentral:rRNA from 1 species